GACGAACGCUGGCGGCGUGCUUAACACAUGCAAGUCGAACGGAAAGGCCCUGCUUGCAGGGUACUCGAGUGGCGAACGGGUGAGUAACACGUGGGUGAUCUGCCCUGCACUUCGGGAUAAGCCUGGGAAACUGGGUCUAAUACCGGAUAGGAGCCAUUUUUAGUGUGAUGGUUGGAAAGUUUUUUCGGUGUAGGAUGAGCUCGCGGCCUAUCAGCUUGUUGGUGGGGUAAUGGCCUACCAAGGCGGCGACGGGUAGCCGGCCUGAGAGGGUGGACGGCCACAUUGGGACUGAGAUACGGCCCAGACUCCUACGGGAGGCAGCAGUGGGGAAUAUUGCACAAUGGGCGCAAGCCUGAUGCAGCGACGCCGCGUGGGGGAUGAGGGCCUUCGGGUUGUAAACUCCUUUCGCUAGGGACGAAGCUUUUUGUGACGGUACCUAGAUAAGAAGCACCGGCUAACUACGUG
rnacentral:rRNA from 1 species